rnacentral:lncRNA from 1 species
GGUCUGUUUAAGCUCUUGGCCUUCACAGAGAGCCAGGCACCCUGAAUACAGAGCAUUCUACCCACGGGACCAGAUGGUGACAGGGGAGGAAAGGCUGUCACCGGGCCUUGCAGUCAGGUGGACAAAUAGCAGCUGUGGACACAAACAUCUUCUGGAGAAUGGCACCUUACCAAGUAAGAAUGAGGACUGCAAGAGGAGGGGGCACAAGAAGCCUGAGAGGAAGAAAAGCAGUGAGACACCUUCAGUCUUCCAGCCAGGGGCAGAGGGAUGGCAUUUUCAGGAUGGGAGCAAAGAGCAUUUCAUGGAGCACGCAUUGGAUUUGAGCUUGCCCUUGAGGAUCUGGACAAGAGAAAAAGGUAAGUUGCAUGGCAGCAACGGGGAGGGAUGUGGCACAGUCUGGGAGUGAAGAGCUGCCCAUUUGGCUGGAGGGCAGGCAGGAAAAGUGGGUGAGAGAGGGUUUUGCUGGCAAUAGUGAGUUUGGCUUUCAGGCUAAGGAAUUUAGAGUCUAUUUGUCAAACCAUGAGGAACAACACCAACUUUUUGCAUGUGAAAGUGUUAGGCCUGGAAAUAUUCCAGGUAACUGUUACAGCAGUGGUGCUCCAUGAAUGGAAGGGACCUGUGUUGGUCUGCUCAGGCUGCCUAACAAAAUACAGCAGGCUGGGUGCUUAAAGGCAGACAUGUAUUUUGUCACAGUUCUAGAGGCCGGAUGUCCAAGAGCAAGGUGCUAGCAGGUCUGGUGAGAGCUCCCUUUGUGUCCUUUCUCGCUGUAUGUCACAUGACCUUUCCUCCAUACAGAGAGCAGAGAGGGAGUGAGCCCUCAGGCAUCUUUUCCUAUAGGACACUACUCCUAUGAGAUUAGGACCCCACUCUUAUGACCUCAUUUUACCUUAACUACUUCGUUAGUGGCCCCACUCCAAAUGCAGCCACACUGGGGGUUAGGACCUUAGCAUAUGAAUUCUGGGGGAUACAACAUGCAGUCCCUAACAGGGUCUAAGGUCUAAGGCUGAAAGCAGGGAAAUCACUCAGUGAGGGGCUGUGAUGGUCCGAGAAGAAUGAAUGAGAUUGGAUGGGGGCAUGGCAGGGAGGUGAGGGUAAGUCUGGAGGGACAACUCUGUGCAGGGCCAUCUACUCCUGCACUUGCAGUGGGCACCUCUUUCUGGUCUUCACUCUUCUAACGUCCUGUGCCACUUCAGGUCUCUUAAUCUGGGGGGCCAACUAUGUGGUGUGUGCAGGAGAGGAGAGAACUAGAAGAGUGUUCCACUUCUCAUGCUGUAUUGAGAGUGGCAGAGGAUGGAGACAGGGCUGAGCAGUUUAUUUCAAAAUUUUGUUUUGCUUUGCUUUGGACAUAGGACCUCUCUGCCUACGGAGAGCUGUCUAGAGCUGCUACAUCAUCACACAUGCAAGCCGUCCUCACAACAGGGGCAGCAAACUGUUUCUGUAAAAGGUCAGAUGGUAAAUAUUUCAGGCUUUGUGAGCCAAGAGGCAAUAUUGAAGACAUAAUGUAGGUAGGUACUUAGGUAACAAGAGAGAAAACAAAUCCCUACAAAUUUUUUGUUGACAAAAUUCAAAACAUAAUAAUUGUGUACAGUGUUUUGUAAUAUAGGUCUCCUAAUGAGAAGAAUGGAAUUCUUUAUGGGAGAAAUAAUAUUUCACUUAGAGUUCAAAGUUUGUGUUCUCUGUCAUCAAAAUCAAAGACAAAUGUUCAUCUCUUAAUGCUGAUCUGGAAGGAGAUAUUACAUAUUUCACCUUUGAAAAUGCUGUUUCACACAACUAGCUGCUGCCAAUACUGACAUUAACUCAUGAGCACGUGAUUUUAACUGAGGAUAUCAUCACUUGGAAGGCACAUCUAGAAUUUGAUGAGAUUCUCCUCUUGAUAGGUGCUUUUAGUAUGUCAUGAUACUCCAGAUUUAAUAGUUCCUAUUGAAGGUUAAGUGGAGGCUCUUCAACUGCACAGUUUAAUUGAUUUUUCAAAAAGAAAAUUAUUGAAUGAAUAUUUUCAACAUCAUACAAAAAAUUAAUAGUCUAAUAAUCCACAUGUAGCUACAUUCUAGAAUUAUCUAGAUUUUGUCAUGUUCACUUCACCUGUCAUUUCCUCUUCUAUUUCUUUUUCCUUUUCUCUUAAAAACAUUUGGGAGGCUGAGUGUGGUGGUUCACGCCUAUAAUCCCAGCACUUUGGGAGGCUGAGGUGGGAGGAUCACUUGAGGUCAGGAGUUUGAGACCAGCCUGGCCAACAUGGCGAAACUCCCUCUCUACUAAAAAUACAAAAAUUAGCUGGGCGUGGUGGCAGGUGCCUGUAAUCUCAGCUAUUUGGGAGGGUGAGGCAGGAGAACUGCUUGAACCUGGGAGGUGGAGGUUGCAGUGAGCCGAGAUCAUGCCACAGAAUUCCAGUCUGGGUGACAGAGGGAGGCUCUGUCUCAAAACAAACAAACAAAACAAACAAACAAACAAAACAAACAAAAAAGCAUUUUGGAGCAAAUCUCAGAUAUUAAAUUGCUUUAAUUUCUACGUAAUUCAGUGUUCAUCUCUAAAAAAUAUGGACUUUGUAUGACUAUUCUUAUAAACCAGAAAAAAUCUAAAUACUUUAUUUAGAAAAUUUAAUAUUUCUCUCUUGAUGUCCAGCAGUGUAGGACUUGAGAGCAAGAUCAAAUCAGUUACCAAAAAAAAAAAAAAAGAAAAAAAAAAUGUGGCACUCUUUUCUUUGCACAUCUGAAUGUGGAAAUGAUCUAUCCCAUUACCUUUAUAUGUCUUUUUAAAACAUAGCUUUUUAUUAUGAAAUAAUUAUAGGUUCACAGGAAGUUGCAUGGAAGUGUACAGGGAGGUCCAGAGUACCCUUCACCCAGCUUCCCCCCAUGUUAUUAUUUUGUGUAAAUAUGCUACAAUAUCAGCCAGGAAAUUGAUGUUGGUUCCAUCCAUGGAACUUAUUGGGAUUUCACUAGCUAUAGUAUUGGUGGAUAUGUGUGUGUAGUUCUAUGCAAUUUUAUCACAUGUGUAACUUCAUACUUCAUGUAACCACGACUGCAAUCAAGAUACCAUCACUACAAGGUUCUCUCAUGUUACCUGUUUAUAGCCACUCCUAUGCUUCCAUCUCUAUCCAUAACCAAUAACCUAUUCCCCAUCUCUAUAACUGGAUUAUUUCACAAACAUUAUAUAAAUAGAAUCAUGCAGUAUUUAUACUUUUGAGAUCAGCUUUCUUUGAGGUUCAUAAAAAUUGUUGUGAGAAUCAAUAGUUUUUUCAAAUUGUUGAGUAGUAGUAUUCCACUCUCUGGAUGUCCCAGAGCUUAUUGAACUAUUCACCCAUUGAAGGAUAUUUGGUAGUUGUGAGUUUUGCACUUUUAUGAAUAAAGCUGCUAUGAAUAUUCAUGCUUAAAUUCCUGUGAGAAAAUAAAUUUUCAUUUUUCUGAAAUGCCCAAGAGUACAAUUAUUAGUCAUAAGGUAAGUUAACUUUUAUGUUUAAAAGAAAUUGCCAAAGUAUUUCCCAGAGGGCUAUACCAUUUUACAUUGCCACAAACAUUCCAGUUUCUCCAUAUGUUUUCUUGCACAUUUGAUAUUGCAUCAUUUGAAUUUUAGCUAUUCUGAUAGACGUGUGGUGAUAGCUCCUUGUGGUUUUCACGUACAUUUCCAUAGUGGGUAAUGAUGAUGACAUUUUUUUCAUGUGCUUCUUUGUCAUCUCUAUGUCCUUUUCAGAGAGAUAUCUCUUAGUGUCUUUUGCUCCUUUACUAAUAUAGAUACAUUUUUUUUUAAGUUGAGAUUUGAGAGUUCUUUAGAUAGCCUAGCUACAAGUCCUUUGUGGGAUAUACGGUUUAUAAAAAUUUUAUCCUAUCUUGUAGCUUGUCUUUACAUCCUUCUUAACAGGGUCUUUUGCAGAGCAAAAAAUGAAAUUUUGCUAUGAAAAUGCAAGUGCAUGAUUUCAGAAGUGUUUCCUUCUCUUCUAUUUUCUGAAAGAGUUUGUGUAAAAUUGUUGUUAAGUUUUCUUAAUAAUCUGGCCCCAGAGAUGUCUCUUUGGGAAACUUUUAAAUUAUACAUUCAAUGUAAUAAUUUUGCUGAGGUCCAAUUUAUCAUAUUUUUCUUUUAUGGAUUUUACCGUGUGUAAGUCUAAGAUAUCUUUGCCUAGUGCCUGGUCCCAAAGACUUCCUCCUAGAAGUUUCAUGGUUUUACAGUUUACAUUUAAGUCUAUGAUCCAUAUUGAGUUGAUUUUUUUGUAAAGUAUUCUGUUUAGGUUGAGGUUCACAUUUUGUUUGCCUGUGGAUGUCAAAUUCCUCCAGCACUACUUUUGAAAAGGCUUUCCCUCCUCUGUUGAACUAUUUUGCUCCUUUGUCAGAAGUUAAUUGGGCAUAUAUGUAUGUAAAUCUCCUUCUGGAUUUUUUAUUCUGUUGUACUGAUCUGUCUAUCUAUCCCUCCACCAAUAUCAUGUAGUCUUGAUUACUUUAGCUAUAUAGUAAGCCUAGUAAUUUCUCCCACUUUAUCCUACUUUUUCAACAUGGAUUUGGCUCUUUUUGGACCUCUCUCUGUCCAUAUACAUUUUUCUAUGUUGAUAACAAAUCUUUUCAAGCUUUUGAUAGGAAUUUCAUUAGCUCAGCCUAUAAAUUUAGGGAGAAUUGAUAUGUUUGCUGUGUUGUCUUCUAAUCCAUGCCCAUGGUAUGUCUAUCCAAAAAAUUUAUGACUUUGAUUUCCUUCAUUACAUUUGUAUUAUCUAUGCUUAUACAUUUUGUUAAGUAUAGCCAAGAAUUAAUUUUCUUUGAAGAGAUUAUUUGGUUUUCCAUUUGUUUUCAGUAGAUAGAAGUGCAGUUGAUUUGUGUGUUGAUUUUGUAUCCUGCAAUCUUUUUUUUUUUUUCUUAAUUGUAAUUUAAGUUCUAGG